UUUUAAGAUCUUAUGAGAGGGGAGGGGGGGAUGACAGAGCAUGGUUUAAAUUUGUAGUGAUUAAUUCCAGGUACAGCAAAAAACAGAGGUUAAAUGCCGGCACCGAAGACUGACAAUCUAUCCUUAGCACAGUUCAUACGGACUCCCCAAUCGGUCCAGCAUUGUAAAUGCAACAUGAAGCAGAAAUAAAAGAAGGCUUGCAGCUACCAGAAAGUCAUUAAGGCAUUAGUUUCUCUGAGAAGACAGAUCUGGAGAAAAUUCAAGAAAAUGAAUAUAUGUAACUAUAUAUCUCUGUAUAUAAACAAGGUGAGCUUUCCUCUGAUUCCUUUAUAGGUGGAGUGGAAGACAAUGCCUGCAUUUAUGGUUAACUAUAAGUGAUACACUAGGAAGAUGAUGGUAUUCAGACAAACACAAACAAUUUGAUUCAGAUAGAUUGGAUACAAGAUUUCAACCAGCAUAAGGAGAACAGAAUAACUUGGAUCCCAGUGAGAAUGAACAGACCUGAUUUACAAGAUUCUGAUACCUGCUAGUCAUGUGAGAAAAAGGUUAAUUUGCUGGAGGAAAUCAUGUCUGUGCGAGAGAAGGUCAGCUUGCUCCAUCAUCACGUACUGCUGUCUGAAGAAACGCCACUGAAGAUUAUGUUGAGAUUUGACUGCCUUAUACUGCAGGAAUCCAAGAGAAAAAGACAGCUCCAUAAAAACCACAUCAACAUCUUCAUUCAUUCUUUGUUUGUUAAUCAGAAAUCAGAUCUGGAUGUGAACUUUGCAGAUUUGGACUGUCUCAAUAAUUUACGAAAAACAAGAGGGUAGUCAAUUUACAAGAAAUAAAUGGAGAGCUCCCUUGCCUAUGAAUCACAUGAAGAUUUGAAGAACCUUUCACUCAAAGCUCAGUAGUGUGCCAGUGGGCACUGGCCAGGAAAAAAAAGAUUGAUAUUUGCCCUCUCUUCUUAUCUGCACUUGAUUUAUAAGUCAGUGUGAGUAUGCAAGAGAAAUAAAGGCAAAGACCUUGAUGCCUCCCUGUGGAGAAUAUGCACCAUUUGGAUUGAAGGCAUGAAAGAGGAGAAAUUAAUGAUCCUCACAUCAAAACGCAAGGGCAGCUUCAGCUAAACAGCUGGCUGGAUUUGCAUGAAAAUGGACUGCCCUUUUUCAUUUGUUUGUUCUUUGGAAAUUACAGUAGGUGAGCAAAUAUAAGACAACCUGGAUGCAUCCCAGGUCAAAACAGUGGCAUGUGUUGGCCAUGUAAUUGUACAGCCUAGAGAUAUUAAAGAUGAGCAUGAGGCACCAAAUGCUGGUCUUACGACUUGUGAGAAGCUUGUAAGGUAGCUCGAUGAGAACGACCCUGAAAUACACCAGAUACUGGAGACCAUGCACACCACACACAAGUCCUACAUCUUGGACAAGAAAACAGCAAAGAAAGAGACCAGGUACCAUGAGGCCAAACAUACACUACAAAUCUGAUUAAGGCUAAUGAAGAACCACUGAUGGGAGCGGAAGUUCUGCAGAACUGCAGAAAGCAGCUGACAAGCAUGAUAUGAAAGCAUUCUAUGAAGGUGCUGUGUUUGGCCCAAAAUACAGUGAUACAGCCUGUCUUUACAGUAGAUGGUAACUGACUGCUUACAAAGGCAAUACUCUCUCUUGCUGGGUACAGCACUUUAAGAGUCUCCUGAACUGUCAAUCCCCGAGAUCUGUCAAAGCCAUGGACUCACUCCCACAGCAUCCUGCCCUGGAGCAGCUGUCUGUGGAUCCUUCUUUAAACAAAAGUUACUAAGUCCAUCAAGCAGCUGUCCACAGGCAAAUCACCAGGCCCAAUGGUAUUCCACCUGAGAGUACAAAUCUGGAGGUGUCCCCCUGGACAGAUAUCUCGCCAGCCUUUUCAAGACUAUAUGGAAACAAGGUACUGUACCCCAAGUGUAUAAGGAUACUUUCAUAGUUCAUCUAUACAAAAGAAAGGGAAUCAUAUCUACCUGUGACACAUAUUGCAGAAUCUCACUGCUAUCUAUAGUAGGGAAGAUCCUUGCAUGGGUUGUCCUCAACAGGCUCGUCGCUCACCUAGUGGACUCACUAUAUCCAGAGUAGCUUUUGUGCUGUCUGUGGUACCAUGGACAUGAUUUUUGCAGACUGGCAAAUAUAAGAGAAGGCUCAUGAACAGAACAAGGACUUGUACAUGGUGUUUGUUGACCUGACCAAGGCCUUCAACACGGUAAAUUGUGAGGGCCUAUGGGAACUCUUUCAUAAAUUUGGCUGCGAAGAGAAGAUGAUUGCGGUCAUCUGCUUAUUUCAUGAUAGCAUGAUGGACAGGGUGAUGCAUCAGAAGCCUUCCCUGUCACCAGUGGCACCAAACAAGAAUGCGUAACAGCUCAAGUCCUUUUUGCCAUUGUUUUUUCAGCCAUGCUCUUGUUUGUAUUCCAGGACUUUGACAGAGGAGUGCAAAGUAGGAUGCCAAUAUCUGGUUGCUGUCAUGAUGAAAUGCUCACAGUUGGUGAAUUUGCUAUUACGGUCAAGGCUGAGCAUGCACUCCUCACUCAGGAAAAACUACCAUCCCAGGAGUGAAGAACAGGACCAUAUUUAUCACUGUUUAUUAACAUUUGCUUAUGUGAGCCCAGAACCUUAGCUGGUGUAAAUUGGGGUAGCUUUGUUGACUUCAGUAAAGCUAUACCAUUUAAUAUCAGCUGAGGAUCUGCUCAAAAAUCUGAAGUAGCAGAGAUUCAUAUUUAGAAGUUUUCUUUAGAGGUUUCAUUGGUUUGAUGCUAGAGACUGAAGAGGAAUAAGAGAAGAAAGAAUUACAUUGAUUGACAUACCUUUGGUACAUAUGAUUAAGCUUCCAGUGAUCGAGCAUAAACUAUAUAUCGUGGAAAUUAGAUACAAUGCUGUUAUGCUAUAGCUCAAGCAAUAUCAACAACACAUUUUCUCCUCCUAAACUUUUCACUUAUUCUGUUGAUCUAGGCAGCCUAGAGCUUUAGUUUAUCUUUUCCUGGAGUAACUCCAUCACUGAUUUCUUUGCUUUUAUACUCACUUUACAUUUGAAAACAUAAUAAGUAGCAGAACCUGGCUUAUAAAUGCAUCGUUACCAUUUUUUUCUGGUGUGAUCAUCUCAAAUGGACUAUCAUACAGAAAAUGGUAUAUAAAGGCCAGUAUGAGAUUUCAGUGUGUGGCAGCAAGGACAACAUCUGCCUUGCAUAUUUGUACUUGCCUACAUAAUCAUGCAUAGCUUUCUAUUGUUCCACGAGUUGCUCAAGCAUAUAAUAGAGUUCCAGUGAGUUCAAACCUCCUGUUUUAGAUGAUGUUUUAGUGAGUUGUUCUGUCACAGUGUGGAAGAUAUUUUUUGAGCUUGGUCAGACUGAGGAAAGCAUAGAGGUUAUGAGCGAGUAUGAAGCAAAUUAUUUCCCUGAACUGUAACUGCUAAGCAUAUUAUAGUAUCACAAUUAAUAUUCUAUGAGAAGUAAAAAUAAGACGUGAGAUAAAGACAGGUAAGGAACUGGUUAAAAGGGAGACUACAACAGACAUGGUGAAAGAUGAACUGUCAGGCGUGGGGGAGGUUACUAGUGGAGUUCCUCAGGGAUCAGUCUUAAUCUUAGUUAAUGACCUUGGCACAAAAAGUGGUAACGUGCUAAUAGCAUUUGCAGAUGACAUAAAGUUGGGAGGUAUUGCUAAUAUCUAGGAGGACCAGAAUAUCACACAAGAAGAUUUGGACAACCUUGGAAACAAGUAAUAGAAAUGGGAUGAAAUUUAAUAGUGAAAGUCAUUCACUUAGGGACAAACAACAAGAAUUUUUGCUAUAAGCUGUGGAACGUAUCAGUUGGAAGCAACAGAGGAGGAGAAAGUCCUGGGUGUAUUGGUCAAUCACAGGAUGAUUAUGAGCUGCCAGUGUGAUGCCGCCAUGAAAAAAGCUAAUGCAAUCCUAGGAUGCAUCAGGGGAGGUAUUUUCAGUAGCGAUAAGGAAGUGUUAUUACUGUUAUACAAGGCACUGGUGAGACCUCAUCUGGAAUACUGUGUGCAAUUUGGUUUUCCCACGUUGAAGAAAGAUUAAUUCAAACUGGAACAGGUGCAGAGAAGAGCUACUAGAUUGAUUAUAAGGAAUGGGGAACCUACCUUAUGACAGGAGAUGUAAGGAGCAUGGCUUGUUUAGCUUAACAAAAUGGAGGCUGAGGGGAGAUAUGAUUGGCCUCUAUAAAUACAUCAGAGGGAUAAAUACCAGGGAUGGAGAGGAGUUAUUUAGGUUAAGGGCCAAUGUUGGCAAAAAACAAAUGGAUAUAAAUUGGCCAUCAACAAGUUUAGGCUUGAAAUUAAAUGAAUGUUUCUCACCAUCAGAGGAAUGAAGUUCUGGAAAAGCCUGUUGGGGAGGGGUGGGAAGUCUAUCUUGUUUCAAGACUGAGCUUGAUAAAUUGAAAGAGGGGAUGAUAUGAUGAGAUUGCCUACCUUGGAAUACGGCCCAUCUGCAACUGCUAUCAGCAAAUAUCUCCAGCAGCCAGAGAUGGGCCACUAGAUGGAGAAAGCUAUGAGUUACUACAGCAAAUUCUUUCCCAGGUGUCUGGCUGGUGGGUCUCACCCACAUGCUCAGCAUCUAACUGAUCACCAUAUUUGGGAUCAGGGAGGAAUGUUCCUGCAGGUCACAUAGGCAGAAACUUUGGGAGUUUUUCAGCUUCUUCCACAACAUGGGGCACAGGACACUUCCUGGUUUGAACUAGAGUGGAUUCUCUGUAACCUGAAGUCUUUAAGUCAACAUUUGACAACUUCAGUAUCUCAGCCAGAGGUCAUGGGCCCACUAUUAUAGGAGUGGGUGGGUGAGGUUCUGUGGCUUGUGAUGUGCAGGAUAGCAGACUAGAUGAUCAUGAUGAUCUCUUCUGGCCUUGAAGUCGAUGAGUCUACAAGGUAAGUAGGUGGCUUACACCCUGAAGUAAAACUCAGUGUGAUUGGUCUGUAAUUCCCAGGAUCACUCUGAGUACAUUUUUUAAAGAUAAAGAUAUUGACUACCCUUCAGUCCUCCAACAGAAUAGCUGAUUUUAGUGAGACUGCAUAUUUUUUUUGACAGGAGCUCAGCUACUUCAUUCUUACAUUUCUUCACAACACUUGGGAGAAUAUUCUCAUGUCCCAGUAACUAGCAGCUUCCAGCACCUCUGUAUAAGUUACAGCACCUCCUCUCAUAACAUGUCGGUCUCUCCAAGUUGGAAAGCCCAUGAGGAAAACAAAUAAAACAAAACAAACAAACCUCUGAAAUGGAAAUUGCCAAAUUUCCCCCAGCUGAGUCAAGGGUCUUUUUUUUUUCACACCAUAAAACACAAAACCAUCUAUUUAGUUAGAAAACUAGGUUUUAUUGCUUUCAGAGUAAUUUCCAUAAAGACUAAACCAUAAUAAUCAGUGAAUCAGUGAAAUAACCCCAACUGUUUGAGUACCAUUAGGCACA